UGACACCAGCGUCUUCGUGAUGGCCACAGUUGUGGGUGAGCCAGCCUUUGUGGGGGCAGCUCCACAGGUAAGACUCGUGUCCUGAGCAGCGCACAUCAUCCAGGACAAUGGGUCCUGAGCCCUGGCCAAACUGGGCAUUUCCUGGGGCUGACAUGGCCCAGCCACAGCCCAGCUGCCUGCAGACCACGUUGGCAUCAUUGGUGUCCCAGCUGUCAUCACACACGGUGCCCCAGGAGCCUCGGUAUAGG
rnacentral:lncRNA from 1 species